UUCCGCUUAGUUCAGUUGGUAGAGCGUGGGACUCUUAAUCUUGAGGUUGUGAGUUCUAGCCCCACAUUGGGUG
rnacentral:tRNA from 1 species